UACAGAGGUCCCAAGCGUUGUUCGGAUUCACUGGGCGUAAAGGGUGCGUAGGUGGUGAGGUAAGUCGGAUGUGAAAUCUCCGAGCUCAACUCGGAAAUGGCAUUGGAAACUACCUUGCUCGAGGGUUGGAGGGGGGACUGGAAUGCUUGGUGUAGCAGUGAAAUGCGUAGAUAUCAAGCGGAACACCAGUGGCGAAGGCGACUUCCUGGACCAAUACUGACGCUCAUGUGCGAAAGCGUGGGGAGCAAACAGG
rnacentral:rRNA from 1 species